AACGAACGCUGGCGGCAGGCUUAACACAUGCAAGUCGAACGGGUGUAGCAAUACAUCAGUGGCAGACGGGUGAGUAACACGUGGGAACCUUCCUAGGGGUACGGAACAACUCAGGGAAACUUGAGCUAAUACCGUAUACGUCCGUGAGGAGAAAGAUUUAUAGCCCUUAGACGGGCCCGCGUCGGAUUAGCUAGUUGGUGGGGUAACGGCCUACCAAGGCGACGAUCCGUAGCUGAUCUGAGAGGAUGAUCAGCCACACUGGGACUGAGACACGGCCCAGACUCCUACGGGAGGCAGCAGUGGGGAAUCUUGGACAAUGGGCGCAAGCCUGAUCCAGCCAUGCCGCGUGAGUGAAGAAGGCCUUAGGGUUGUAAAGCUCUUUUGGCAGGGACGAUAAUGACGGUACCUGCAGAAUAAGCCCCGGCAAACUUCGUGCCAGCAGCCGCUGUAAAAC
rnacentral:rRNA from 1 species